CAGAGUGACUGCAGAUCUCUCCAGUCUCGCCUCCUGUCAUCUCCUUUGGGAAGAUCUUAAGGCACACAAGACAGUUUGUGGAAACCAUGAAGGCCUUCUGCAGCCUCUUCCUGCUUUCCCUCCUUCUACUCUUCAUUUCUCCAGCAUCCUUUCAAAAAAUAGAAAACGGUUGGCAGUGUU